rnacentral:rRNA from 1 species
GAUGAACGCUGGCGGCGUGCCUAAUACAUGCAAGUCGAGCGAACGGACGAGAAGCUUGCUUCUCUGAUGUUAGCGGCGGACGGGUGAGUAACACGUGGAUAACCUACCUAUAAGACUGGGAUAACUUCGGGAAACCGGAGCUAAUACCGGAUAAUAUUUUGAACCGCAUGGUUCAAAAGUGAAAGACGGUCUUGCUGUCACUUAUAGAUGGAUCCGCGCUGCAUUAGCUAGUUGGUAAGGUAACGGCUUACCAAGGCAACGAUGCAUAGCCGACCUGAGAGGGUGAUCGGCCACACUGGAACUGAGACACGGUCCAGACUCCUACGGGAGGCAGCAGUAGGGAAUCUUCCGCAAUGGGCGAAAGCCUGACGGAGCAACGCCGCGUGAGUGAUGAAGGUCUUCGGAUCGUAAAACUCUGUUAUUAGGGAAGAACAUAUGUGUAAGUAACUGUGCACAUCUUGACGGUACCUAAUCAGAAAGCCACGGCUAACUACGUGCCAGCAGCCGCGGUAAUACGUAGGUGGCAAGCGUUAUCCGGAAUUAUUGGGCGUAAAGCGCGCGUAGGCGGUUUUUUAAGUCUGAUGUGAAAGCCCACGGCUCAACCGUGGAGGGUCAUUGGAAACUGGAAAACUUGAGUGCAGAAGAGGAAAGUGGAAUUCCAUGUGUAGCGGUGAAAUGCGCAGAGAUAUGGAGGAACACCAGUGGCGAAGGCGACUUUCUGGUCUGUAACUGACGCUGAUGUGCGAAAGCGUGGGGAUCAAACAGGAUUAGAUACCCUGGUAGUCCACGCCGUAAACGAUGAGAGCUAAGUGUUAGGGGGUUUCCGCCCCUUAGUGCUGCAGCUAACGCAUUAAGCACUCCGCCUGGGGAGUACGACCGCAAGGUUGAAACUCAAAGGAAUUGACGGGGACCCGCACAAGCGGUGGAGCAUGUGGUUUAAUUCGAAGCAACGCGAAGAACCUUACCAAAUCUUGACAUCCUUUGACAACUCUAGAGAUAGAGCCUUCCCCUUCGGGGGACAAAGUGACAGGUGGUGCAUGGUUGUCGUCAGCUCGUGUCGUGAGAUGUUGGGUUAAGUCCCGCAACGAGCGCAACCCUUAAGCUUAGUUGCCAUCAUUGAGUUGGGCACUCUAAGUUGACUGCCGGUGACAAACCGGAGGAAGGUGGGGAUGACGUCAAAUCAUCAUGCCCCUUAUGAUUUGGGCUACACACGUGCUACAAUGGACAAUACAAAGGGCAGCGAAACCGCGAGGUCAAGCAAAUCCCAUAAAGUUGUUCUCAGUUCGGAUUGUAGUCUGCAACUCGACUACAUGAAGCUGGAAUCGCUAGUAAUCGUAGAUCAGCAUGCUACGGUGAAUACGUUCCCGGGUCU